rnacentral:rRNA from 1 species
UACGAAGGGGGCUAGCGUUGCUCGGAAUCACUGGGCGUAAAGCGCACGUAGGCGGAUCUUUAAGUCAGGGGUGAAAUCCUGGAGCUCAACUCCAGAACUGCCUUUGAUACUGGCGAUCUCGAGUUCGGGAGAGGUGAGUGGAACUGCGAGUGUAGAGGUGAAAUUCGUAGAUAUUCGCAAGAACACCAGUGGCGAAGGCGGCUCACUGGCCCGAUACUGACGCUGAGGUGCGAAAGCGUGGGGAGCAACAGG